AUUGAACGCUGGCGGCAGGCCUAACACAUGCAAGUCGAACGAGUUGCGGACGGGUGAGUAAUGUCUGGGAAACUGCCUGAUGGAGGGGGAUAACUACUGAAAACGGUAGCUAAUACCGCAUACCAUCGGAUGUGCCCAGAUGGGAUUAGCUAGUUGGUGGGGUAAAGGCUAACCUAGGCGACGAUCCCUAGCUGGUCUGAGAGGAUGACCAGCCACACUGGAACUGGGCCACGGACCAGACGCCUACGGGAGGCAGCAGUGGGGAAUAUUGCACAAUGGGCGCAAGCCUGAUGCAGCCAUGCCGCGUGUAUGAAGAAGGCCUUCGGGUUGUAAAGUACUUUCAUCGGGGAGGCGUUACCCGCAGAAGAAGCACCGGCUAACUCCGUGCCAGCAGCCGCGGUAAUCC
rnacentral:rRNA from 1 species